rnacentral:misc_RNA from 1 species
AAGUCGUAACAAGGUUUCCGUAGGUGAACCUGCGGAAGGAUCAUUAAAAAAUCUCUAUGAGCCGCAAGGCUCUAUUACUUUGUGAAACGUUGAUACUGAUUAUGGUCAGGUAAGGGUGUGAUAGUGUUCGUCGUUGGAUGGCACGAUGAUGUCUGGCGGUGCUGCUUUAUUGCUACACUGUCUUCGUCAUCGGCUUAUCAUGGAUGACGAUACGCUUCUUUCCCGCGCCGCCAUACCAGUAGCUUUUUAAAACAUAUGUUCAUGAUGCUGAGGAAUAUAUAUCUUUAAUAUAUAUACAACUUUCAACAGUGGAUCUCUCGGCUCUU